AUGAAUCAUGUUGCCAGACGACAUAGUAGUCGCAAUGAUUUAAUACAGUUGGAGGUGGUGGGUGAAAACGUACACAAUCAUGUUACAGUUGCUGUGGAUGAACAAGGUGAAAAUAUUCUACCGGCUUUUAAUGGAAUGCUAGAUCGGAUUGUGCAGUCAAACGGUAUCAUUUCAUCGGAUGAGAAUAUAGAAUUCAUCCUUCACGUGGUGCAGAACCCAGGAGGAGGUGCCAAACGUAAGAUGGAGAAAACUCUAGACUGUGAAAUCAUUGACAAAAAAAGACGUCACUUAUUUAUCGUAGACAACAGAGACAACCAGCUUUGCUUCGCCAUCAGUCUAGCUCACGUUAUCUACCCGAAACUUACUGAAAGAGAAUGCCUUGAUAUUGCGAGGAAGUUGCAGCAUCAGGCUGGUUUAAAUGAUGAGACCCCCGUCACUUUCAGUGACAUUGGUAAAUUUGAAAAUAUUCUGGGGCGUAAAAUUGUUGUGUUUUACAGAACAUGCCACAGUAAACCCCUCUCACAUUAUGAGACAAAAUUCUCUGAUCGUUCCAAUCAGUUGUUUCUCUUUUUACUACAAAAUCACUAUUAUGGGAUAAAAAAUCUCAAAGCCUUCCUGGGGUCGUCAGUCUGUAAUUAUUGUUACAAGACUUUUAAGCACCCCUAUACCCACUUUUGUAAAGGUUACUGCGCAGUGUGCAACGAUCCUGCCUGCCCCACAGAAGGGUUCAACACAGUGGUUUGCUCUGACUGUAACAGAACGUGUCGCUCACCCUCUUGUUUCACCAGACACAAAUUGGUCGGUUCAAGCAGAAAGUCCAGCCUCUGCGACCAAAUCAAAAAAUGCGCACGAUGCGAACUAUACUACAGUGUCAAUUUGUCGUUAGACGAUGCAAAGCAUCGCUGUGCGGUGAAAAAAUGUAAAAUCUGUGGUGAAAAACUGCAGAGCGACUCUAAAGUCGAUCAUAGUUGUUACAUUCCUACCCUCCAACCAGACAUCUCACAUCCUGAUUUGGUUUUUUAUGAUUUUGAAACAUUUGUGGGUCAAAAUGGAGAGCAUGUUCCUUUUUUAGUGCAUACAAAAACAUCCAAAGGUGAAGAGAAGGCGUUUUAUGGUCUUGACUGUGCUAAAAUGUUUAUUUUGCAUUUCAGGAAGCCACGAUACAAACAGAACAUCUUUAUAGCCCAUAAUGCCAAGGGGUUUGACAGUUAUCUGGUGUUAAAAGGUAUGUUGGAACUGGAUGUGACGCCACAACAGAUUCUGAUGAACGGGAGUAAAAUCCUCAGUUUUGAGGAAUCCCAUUAUGGUCUCAAAUUCAUAGAUUCCCUGUCAUUUCUCCCCAUGCGUCUCAGCGCUAUGCCCAAAGCCUUAGGAUUCACUGACAAGACCAAGGGGUAUUUCCCACACAAAUUUAGCUCAGAAAUUCACCUCAAUUACGUGGGGCCCUAUCCCGUUCCGUCCGACUACGACGUAGAUCGCAUGACGGUGCGCGAACGGGAAGAAUUUGACCCGUGGUACAACGAGGUCAGCCGCGGUACCUUUGACUUCAAAAAGGAGGCCUCGCUGUACUGCAAAAAUGAUGUUGACAUUCUCACCCAGGGCAGUCUUAAAUUUAGAGAUCAGUUCCUAGGUGAGACGGGGGUAGACCCUUUUGGUUCUAUCGCCAUAGCCGGAGCCUGUAUGAAGGUGUUUCGCACCAAUUAUCUGACUCCUAACACUCUGGCUAUCCCCUGCCCGCACAACUAUUUGAAUCAGAGCAAAAGAUUCUCUAGUGCAUCGGUUCAAUGGUUAGAAUGGUUGAUGCACAAAGAAAAAAUCUUUAUACAGCAUGCUCUAAACAUGGGUGAAAAACAGAUUGGUGCAUUUUUCGUAGACGGAUAUGCUGAGAUUGACGGUGUAAAACAUGUCUGGGAAUUUCAUGGAUGUUUUUACCACGGCUGUCCCAGUUGCUUUGAUCCCACAGUACAGUGCGAUAUGAGAGGCGUCACCUUUGGUGAACUGCACUACAAAAGUGAGAAGAGGGUGAGUGAGCUACAGACCACACAUGGGGUUCGUGUUGUAGUCAUGAGAGAACACACGUGGAACCAGAUGAAAACAACAUGCACGGAGGUUAAAGAAUUUCUCCGUUGCUUUAACGCUCCUGAGCCUCUCAACCCCCGAAAAGCACUUUUCGGAGGUAGAACGAGCGCUUUAAAACUGCGACACACGGCAGCGCCCGAUGAAACCAUCCACUAUGUUGAUGUCACCUCACUGUACCCGUUUGUCAACAGUACUUGCUCUUACCCCUUUGGUCACCCCGUGAUCAUCUACAAAGAUUUCGAGGACCCACGCAGCUACUACGGCUUCAUCAGAGCCACUGUGUAUCCUCCUCGAGGUCUUUUAUUCCCCGUGUUACCGCACAAAAGUGAGGGAGGUAAAUUACUCUUUACACUGUGUCGCACCUGUGCCGAAACUAACAAUGAGGGUGGCCCCUGCGAACACGACGAUGAGGGCAGAGCUCUGACGGGGGUCUGGGUCACCGUUGAAUUCAUCAAAGCUCUGGAUGUGGGGUACAGGGUGGGUAAAAUUACAGAAGUCUGGCACUUUGACAAGAGCAGCGACACUGUGUUUACCGACUACAUACACACCUUUUUGAAAGGAAAGCAGGAAGCCUCGGGUUACCCCGCUGAGGCGACGGACCGAGAGAGCAGGGAAAAAUACAUCAGGGACUAUCAGGAGCAUCAGGGCAUUCUUUUAGAUGCUGGCAAAAUCGAGACCAAUCCUGUGAAAAGACAGGUUGCUAAAUUGUGUCUCAACAGUUUGUGGGGAAAGUUUGCACAGAGAGAUAAUUUGUUUAAAACCACCAUUGUCUCAGAUCCUAAAGAAUUCUUUAGUUACAUGUUUUCAGGUAAAUACAAAGUCGAAUACUUUACCGUUCUCCACAGCAACAGAGCUCUCAUCAGGUGGAAAUACACCGACAGGUACGUUCAACCCCCAGGUAAACAGAGUAAUGUUUUUAUUGCAGCAUUCACCACAGCACACGCACGACUGAAGCUGUACAGUUAUCUGGAAAAACUACAAGACAGAGUGUUUUACAUCGACACAGAUAGUUUAAUCUAUCUGGUCAAAGAGGGUGAGAAACCUCUAGAGCUGGGUAACUAUUUAGGUGACCUGACGGAUGAACUGGAUGGUGACAGCAUUCAAGAGUUUGCAGCGGCGGGUCCCAAGAGUUACGCGUACCAAACACGAAAUAAAAAGAAAGUCGUCAUGCGUGUGAAAGGUAUCACUCAGACCCGGGAAUUUUGUGAGCGUGUGAGCUUUGACAGUGUCAGAGAGCUGGUGGAGGGUUACCUGAGUAAUAAACAAGAGGGAAACACGAUCGAGAUCCGUCAACACAGCAUCAGACGUGAUAAAAAGGGUUUCGCAUUGAGAAAUGUGUCAUUUGAUAAAAAAUUUAGGGUGGUGUAUGACAAAAGACGACUCUUUGCUGACGGAACAACUCUGCCUUUCGGGUAUUAG
rnacentral:lncRNA from 1 species